GAUAAACGCUGGCGGCGCACAUAAGACAUGCAAGUUGAACGGACUUAAUCGAAAUAUUUCUAUUUUGAAGCGGUUAGUGGCGGACUGGUGAGUAACGCGUAAGGAACCUGCCUAUUAGAGGGGAAUAACAGUGAGAAAUCAUUGCUAAUACCGCAUAUGCCAUAGAUAUCACAUGAUAACAGUGGGAAAGGAGCAAUCCGCUAAUAGAUGGCCUUGCGUCUGAUUAGAUAGUUGGUGGGGUAACGGCCUACCAAGUCGACGAUCAGUAGCCGGACUGAGAGGUUGAACGGCCACAUUGGGACUGAGAUACGGCCCAGACUCCUACGGGAGGCAGCAGUCGGGAAUAUUGCGCAAUGGAGGAAACUCUGACGCAGUGACGCCGCGUAGAGGAAGAAGGUUUUCGGAUUGUAAACUAUUGUCGUUAGGGAAGAGAAAGGACAGUACCUAAGGAGGAAGCUCCGGCUAACUACGUG
rnacentral:rRNA from 1 species